rnacentral:misc_RNA from 1 species
UCUCCGUUGGUGAACCAGCGGAGGGAUCAUUACAGAGUUAUCUAACUCCCAAACCCUUGUGAACUUACCAUUUGUUGCCUCGGCAGAGCCUACCCGGUAACUGUUCGGAGAAGCUACCCUGUAGCUACCCUGUAACGGCCUACCCUGUAACGCACUGCCGGUGGACUUUUAAACUCUUGUUAUUUUAUAGUAAUCUGAGCAACUUAUUUUAAUAAGACAAAACUUUCAACAACGGAUCUCUUGGUUCUGGCAUCGAUUAAGAACGCAGC